GUUUGAUCAUGGCUCAGAACGAACGCUGGCGGCAGGCCUCAAACAUGCAAGUCUAGGGGGUGCAGCAAUGCAUCACCGGCGGACGGGUGCGUAACGCGUGGGAAUAUACCUUUUGGUUCGGAACAACUGCGGGAAACUGCAGCUAAUACCGAAUGUGCCCUAACGGGGAAAGAUUUAUCGCCAAAGGAUUAGCCCGCGUAGGAUUAGCUAGUUGGUGAGGUAAUGGCUCACCAAGGCUCCGAUCCUUAGCUGUUCUGAGAGGAAGAUCAGCCACACUGGGACUGAGACACGGCCCAGACUCCUACGGGAGGCAGCAGUUGGGAAUCUUGGACAAUGGGGGAAACCCUGAUCCAGCCAUGCCGCGUGAGCGAAGAAGGUUUUCGGAUCGUAAAGCUCUGUUGUAAGGGAAGAACACGUACGGGAGUAACUGCCCGUACCUUGACGGUACCUUAUUAGAAAGCCACGGCUAACUACGUGCCAGCAGCCGCGGUAAUG
rnacentral:rRNA from 1 species